rnacentral:rRNA from 1 species
GAUGAACGCUAGCGGCAGGCUUAACACAUGCAAGUCGAGGGGCAGCAUGAGACGGAGAUUCGUCGAAGUCUUGAUGGCGACCGGCGCAAGGGUGCGUAACGCGUGAGCAACUUGCCCGUUUCAGGGGGAUAACCGGUGGAAACGCCGACUAAUACCCCAUAGUAUUGAGUUUAGGCAUCUUUACUCAAUUAAAGAAUUUCGGAAACGGAUAGGCUCGCGUGACAUUAGCUAGAUGGCGGGGUAACGGCCCACCAUGGCGACGAUGUCUAGGGGUUCUGAGAGGAAGGUCCCCCACACUGGAACUGAGACACGGUCCAGACUCCUACGGGAGGCAGCAGUGAGGAAUAUUGGUCAAUGGUCUGACGACUGAACCAGCCAUGCCGCGUGAAGGUCACGGCCCUAUGGGUCUUAAACUUCUUUUGUAAGGGAGCAAUAAGUCUCACGUGUGGGAUGAUGAGAGUACCUUACGAAUAAGCAUCGGCUAACUCCGUGCCAGCCGCCGCGGUAAUAC